CUUUAAUCGUCUCCUUCUCGCUGCUUUGCUUCCUCUUUUCCUCCCUCUCCGUCUUUUUCUCCCUCUCCGGAGGAUGCUCGGGUGCUCGGUGAGAUGGAGCGGGGCAUGAUGUUUCCAUGGGACAUCCCCGGGCAAGAGGGAGGAGGUUCUUGAGUGAAAGAAGUCCCACCGAGGGAGCCAUCAGAAGAAGCCACACCACCUCCAAAAGGUCCCACCUUUCCACCUCUCCAGGGAUGGGGACUCCAGCAGAGAAGCACAGCAAGGGAUUUGCUCGAAUCAUCCUUCCUGCUGGUCUCUGCACCCGAAUCCCUGCUUCCAUGGGAAUUUCCUGCCUGCACAGCGCUGGGAGUGCUUUUAGCUGGAAAGCUCCAGGUCUUUCCUGUGUUUGGGGCUCCAGCACGUUUCCCUGCCUUUGAUGCACAUUUUUAUCUGUCUGGCACAGAUGCAGGAUAUUGGUGUGGAAAGAUGGUGGAGGGAAAAUCCAUAACUGCUCCAUGAGAAAAUCCCGUCCAGAACGUUCAUUCCUUCUGGAAUCAUCUUUAUUUAACCAUUAGAAUAAAAUGGAUCUGAGCUCAGCCGGGGGGAAAGUAUUUGGUCUAAGUUAAAAAUCAGGUUCAUCAGGGACAAACUGGCAAAUAAUUAUUAUUUCUCAAUAAAAAUUAUUUUAAAUCA